AUGGCUCAUGAACUGUGGCCUGUGGGUAUGAGAUUGACUCCAGGUAGAGGGAGAUCAAACGAUCCCCUCCCCACCGUCACGCCUGCCCACGAUCUCCCGUUCCUCUCCUCAAACAACGAGGUAGUUUCGUCCCCCACCCCCACCGGCCCCUUCCCACACCGCCACCCCUCUCUUCCGCUUGCACGCUCUUGCCCCGCCCGCACCUCCCACAAGCUGCCAAGGGCGUCGGAUCAUCGUCUUCGGCGCCAGGGGCCAGUGACGGUCACGCACGACGACGUCUCUGCGAUGGCGGAUGACGGUCAAGCCAGCGGGAUGGGAUCGGAGACGACGAGCAGCAGAAACGGUCUUGCUCUGGCGAUCAACACCAAACUCCACCUGCUCGAGGGAGGACGCAGCCCCGCCCCAAGCACUUCAUUCGGAGGAAACGGCAGCCAUGGUCGACGCCAGAGCAACAUCCUCCUCCAGAGGUUCCUCUCGUUCAUCUACGGACCAUGGCUCCCCGGCUUCGGAUUGGGACCAGGGACGCGAGCCGCGCCCGCGCUCAGCCGCCUUGGAGCCUCGUGCGGCGCAUCAUCGUUAUCAGCUGAGGCGCCUGGACAUCCCAACGGCAGCGGGAGGAUCUACGACCUCCUCGUCCUUCUUGGCGCUUCUCUGGUGCUCAACGUAUUGUCAUGCAUGAUGUUUUACAUCAUUGGCAGAAAAGCGAGUCUGACUCCAGAUUGCCUCCAGUUGAACGAAGUCGAGCUGUCGCCCGUCACCUCGCUCUCGUUCUUCUCCCCUUUCGACUGGCGCUUGUGUUUGGCACUUGGAAACAACAUAAUAGAAAUUUGGUUGCUCAGUAGGUCAGAACCCACCGAUCCUGAGGAUGACCGUCGUGGUCGCACCCGAAUCCGAAACCGCUGCCACCGAGAUAAUUUGGCACAGUUGCGUCUGUCUAGGGGACAAAAUUGGCAUGGUGAUCGAGGAGGUCCUUCGUUGACGGGCAAGGCGCUCAUGAACAAUCCACCACUCAUGCCAUUGCGCUUUGCUUCCAUUGGUAUUUCUUGGGCGAAAGAAUUGUCUUCCCUGUCUUAA
rnacentral:rRNA from 1 species